rnacentral:rRNA from 1 species
GAUGAACGCUGGCGGCGUGCUUAACACAUGCAAGUCGAACGAUGAAAGCGGGAGCUUGCUCCUGCUGGAUUAGUGGCGAACGGGUGAGUAACACGUGAGCAAUCUGCCCCGAACUCUGGGAUAAGCGUUGGAAACGACGUCUAAUACCGGAUACGACGCGCGAAGGCAUCUUCUGCGCGUGGAAAGAACUGCGGUGCGGGAGGAGCUCGCGGCCUAUCAGCUAGUUGGUGAGGUAACGGCCCACCAAGGCGACGACGGGUAGCCGGCCUGAGAGGGUGACCGGCAACACUGGGACUGAGACACGGCCCAGACUCCUACGGGAGGCAGCAGUGGGGAAUAUUGCACAAUGGGCGCAAGCCUGAUGCAGCAACGCCGCGUGAGGGACGACGGCCUUCGGGUUGUAAACCUCUUUUAGUAGGGAAGAAGCGAAAGUGACGGUACCUGCAGAAAAAGCACCGGCUAACUACGUGCCAGCCGCCGCGGUAAAAC